UAUGCCUUUCUCGGUCUGGUUAGGCUUUCCGGAAAAUUUCUUUCAAAACAUAUGUUAUUUACACUAAUAUAUCAUUAUAUUCUAUAUUAUUUGUAUAGAAUAGCACAUAUUUAGAAUCAUUCUCUCUUCUCUAUCUAUCUAUCUCCCUCACUCCCUCACUCUCUCCCUCUCUCUCUCUUUCUCUCUCCCCUUCUAAACAAACGAGACAAUAUUUUAUCGUAUUCUAUUCUAUUUAGAAAUCAUAAAAUAAAAAUUCAACAUUACAAUUCUCUCAACCUCCUAUCUCCCUCCCUCUCUACUCAAUCUCUUUUUUUCUUCUAUUUACCCAUAUAUAUCUCUCUAUCUCCUUAUCUCUACCUCAUCGUUCGCUCUC
rnacentral:lncRNA from 1 species